rnacentral:rRNA from 1 species
UACGAAGGGGGCUAGCGUUGCUCGGAAUCACUGGGCGUAAAGCGCACGUAGGCGGCUUCUUAAGUCAGGGGUGAAAUCCUGGAGCUCAACUCCAGAACUGCCUUUGAUACUGAGGAGCUUGAGUCCGGGAGAGGUGAGUGGAACUGCGAGUGUAGAGGUGAAAUUCGUAGAUAUUCGCAGGAACACCAGUGGCGAAGGCGGCUCACUGGUCCGGUACUGACGCUGAGGAGCGAAAGCGUGGGGAGCGAACAGG